GUUGGGCAUAGUGGUGUAUGCUUGUAAUCCUGGCUACUUGGGAAGUGGAGACAAAAGUAUCAAGUUUGAGGAUAGCCUCAGUAACUUAGACUUGUCUCAA
rnacentral:sRNA from 1 species